AUAUUUUAUUAUUUAGUUAAAGUUAAUUUUGCUUUUUUUGAUUGGCUGUUUUUUAAUAGUUUUAUAUAUAAGUUUUUGCGUGUUUAUUUAUUUAUCUUAAUGAUAAUUAUUUUUUAUUUUUAGUUUUUAAUUUUGGUUAUGUUAAUAAAUAAUUUUAUUUCCAGCUAAUUUAUUUUAGGAUUGUAAAAUUUUGUGCCAGCAUAUGCGGUUAAACAAUUAAUUCAUGUCAAUUAUUUUGGUUUAUAUUAAUUAUUUAUUUUAAAGGUUUAUUUAAAUUUAUUAAGUGAAAUUUUUAUUUUUAACAAUAUUUUUUUGGUUAAGAUUAUGUGAAAUUUAGUUUUAAAGACUAGGAUUAGAUACCCUAUUAUUCUAAAUGUAAAUUUGUAAC
rnacentral:rRNA from 1 species